GAUAAAUUAAACUAAAAAAUAUAUAAAAAUGUUUUUGGAUUAUUCAUUACAACUUUUUUUUAUUUUCAAAUACAAAACAGAAAAUGCGAUAAUGAGAGACUCAACUAAACUAUACUACAACAAACUCCAACACCAACUAAAAGAAUCAUUACUACUGGGCAUAAUUAUAAAGUACAAGACAACAUAAAAAAAAAAGAAACAGACUCAAAACAUAAAAAAAUUCCUUAAGCAACUCCUGGAUGCAACGAUCCUGACCAGAUGGUCCUGGGGUGUCUGGCAUGCUCAAACUCCGGUAAGUAGAUCCAUACUUGUCUGAGAAAACUAAAGCCAAAUAGAGUUAAAGAUUAGAACACUAUGUGAGACAAUAAAAUUCCUAUCGGACACAUGCAUGACAUGAUUGAAGCUAUUUUUGCAAGAUGGCCUAUGUGGCCAAAAGGUUGCUAGAAAUGCAAACUCAACAAAAGUGACCUCUAGGACAUGGAAAAAUUACUUUACAUAAAUGACCCUUUUUGUAGAAAUAGCCUAUGUGGACAAAAAGAUGGCUAAGCAUGCAAAUUCAAUACAAUGGACCUUAAACAUAGAGAACAUCUUGUUGUGGACCUAGACACUCAGACAUGGGUCACUGAACCACUUUUGCAAAAAUAGCCCUAUUUUGCAAGACGACCUAUGUGGCCAAAAAUGGCUAGACAUGCAAAUUUGACAAGGACAGACCUUAAAGUAAAGAGACACCUAAUUGUGGAUUCAAGACUCUCCAGACAAUUAAACAAACCACUUUUGCGAAAAUAGCCAUAUUUUGCAAAAUGACCGAUAUGGCCAAAAGUGGCUAGACAUGCAAGAAUUGGCUACGAGCCUCGAAGCCAAGAACCUAAGACUCACUAGGAAAAUCGGACUCUAUGUGGGCUGCCUACGUGUCACGACCCAAAUUCCACUAAGGGUCAUGAUGGCGCCGGACAACGCUGUCACGCAAGCCAACCAAAAUACUUAAUUAAAUUCUCAUUUAAAUAAUUUUGAAAACUAUGAUUUUUCCUUCAAUUUUACCAGUAAAAGAUAAUCAUUUCAAAUCAAAUAUGAAUGUUAAGAAGUUAAUACAAGAUACGCCAUAAUUAUCCCAAAACCCGGUGUCACAAGUGCAUGAGCAUUUACUGGAGAACGCAAUAAAAUACAGUAACUGUCCGGAAUACAAGUGGACAAAAAUGGAAAACAUAGUAAAAUAUGCUUAAGGGGACUCUGCUGGCUGCGGGUUGUCUCGAUAAAUGUAGCUCACCUAAGUCUCCGUAUCAACAAUAUCGUUAUGCCACUAAGCCACUAGCCACACUUGAACCUGUGCAACAAAAAUGCACAGCAAGUGUAGUAUGAGGAUGAAAACAGAGUGUACCCAUUGAGUAUCCCGUCUAAUAUCGAAGAAGUAGAGACGAGAGGUCGACUUUGAUACUUACUAAUGGUCCAAUGAUAAUAUAGAAAAGUGUGAAGAAUUCAUCAAUUUCAUAAAGCAAAAUUUAAUUCAUACACCCGGAAUACAGGUAAACAACUUCUCAAAUAAUAAAGGAUUUCCAAAGGUUUACUUUUCAUUAUCUUUAUCAAUUUAUCUCUGGCCAGGAAGGGACAAUUAUCAACAUUUAAAAUUCUCAAGCAAGCAAUACAAGAAUGCACAUAUCAUGCCGAGGUCGUACGGCCCGAUUCAACAAUAUUUAAACUAUGCACUGUCAGAGGGUCGAAUGGCACGAACCAUAGAUGCAUCUAUUUAAUCCACCGAGGCAUUCGGCUCGUUCCAAAAUUAAAUGCAAACAGACAGUCAAUCAAGAAGACAACAUGGAACAAUUAACCAAAGAAAAGCCAAUUCUCUUUUAACAAUUUUAUAAAAUAAAGUUUAAUCCUUUUAGAAAUUCAUUUACCAAUUCGAUAGGAUUUAAGCAAUUCAACUGCCAACAAGAUUACAGAUAUUCCAAGUAUAGCAUGCUUUUGGGUCCUAGACUACCUGGACUUACACAUAAUAGUAGCUAUGCACGGACUCUCGUCACCUCGUGCGUACGUAGCCCCUACAAAUAGGAGCACAUAACCAAUUUUAUCACCUAUGGGGACAAUUCCCUCUUACAAGGUUAGAAAGGAGACUCAUCUCGCUCUGAAGAUCCAUAACCGACAUUCCACGCUCUUCCGAAGACUCGAAUCGAUGCACAAUGCUCCAAAACUAGCCAAUAAUUAUGCAAAUCCAUUAAUAUAUUUUCAAUUAUUCAUUACAAUCCAAUUUAUAACAAUUCCUAACCCCGAUCGAAAAGUUAACAAAAUUGCCCUCGGGCCCACGUGCCCGGAUUCCGAAAUUUUUCGAAGAUAAAGUUUACCCAUGAACUCACGAACUCAAAUAUAUGAUUUUCUCUUAAUUUCAUACCCAAAAUCAUGGUCAAAAUCCAAGAAUAUGAAUUUUCUAGGUUUUCCUCAAACCCUCAAAUUUUUACCAAUUUACAUGCAAAGCUUCAUACAUAAUCAAUGUAUUUAAUUCAAGAUAGGUGGGGUUAGCUUACCUUGCCGUUGAUGAUGAAAAAACCCACUUGAAGCUCUCCAAAAUCGGCUCUAAUGGAAGAAAUGGGGUUGAAAUGAACCCAAUCCCCGAUUUAAAGGAACUCACUGCCUCCAACAUUUCCGCAUCUGCGGUCACUUGACCGCUUUUGCGGUUCUGCAGGUGCGACCCACUACCCGCUUCUGCGGUUUCUCACCAUGUUGCCCUUUCCGCUUCUACUCCUCAACCACCGCAAGUGUGGUCCCUCUUUGCGGCGACAUGACCGCAUCUGCGGUCUCUUCAUUUCUUGCCCAGAACCGCAUCUGCGUCCCUCCUAGUCGCUUCUGUGGCUCCGCUCCUACGACCAAACCUCGCAGGUGCGGUUACACCAGAUACCAGCUGCUGAAGCCCUUCUUCAAACUCCAAAUUUGAUCCAUUAACCAUCCGGAAUCCACCUGAGGCCCCCGGGACCCCGUCCAAUCACACCAACCAGUCCCACAACACAUUACGGACUUGCUCGAAGCCUCAAAUCAUAUCAAAUAACGCUAAAAUCAUGAUUCGGCCUCCAAUCCAAGCUUAAUGAACUUUAGAAUUUCAAACUUCUACAUUCGAUGACGAAACCUAUCAAAUCACGUCCGAUUGACCUCAAAUUUUGCACACAAGUCAUAUUUGACAUUACGGACCUACUCCAACUUUCGGAAUUGGAUUCUGACCCCGAUAUUAAAACAGAUACGGGGAAUUGUACUCAACAUCACAUUGUUGCGGCGCGCAACCCGAUCCAAACAACAUACCCAUGGCGGCAUGCCACCAGAUCCACACAUAGAAUUCAUAUAAGAAGAUACAUACUGAGCCAGAUUGCUCAUUACAACAAAAUACCGAGUGUCGGUCACAAGCACGCUAAGUGCAUAAUACCAUCCAUAGGGAGACAUAUAGCGCCAUAAGCUACAAAAAUCAAGCACAACUGAGGUGCGAUAUACGAUCUGAAUCUCAAGAGCCAUUAUGCUCAUAUAACAUCAUCUUUACGCGGAACCUCAACAUAUAAGAAAUUUACCAAGCUGUCUCAUAACCCAUGCGGCGCGAUAUAUCACUACAUGAAAUAGUUGACGACAAAAUAGUACCCCGACUACUUUUCCAUAAGGAGCGCAUUGCUGAAAUGAACACAUCUGGUCUAAUAUAAGCCCAUAUUCACAUUUAGAUCCAUCCACAGACCUCAAGCUUAUUCUGAGCGCACUAAACUAGGCUAAUAACCUUUCAAACGUCCAUAAUAACUCCCUUUUUUCUCAUACACAGGAGAACUACCAUCAUGACCGUAGUAAUCCUCCACAGUUAACAACCCUAUAAACUGAGUGUCCUCCAGGCAUCAAUUAUCAAUUUAAUGACAUCACUACAAUCUUCAUACUUGGUUUAACUCCUCAAUCAAUCAAGUGACUACAUGCCACACAUAUACAACAUUCCCGUGGGGCACGCUCCCACAACCUUUUGUAACAGAUGACAGGUAUGUACAUCCAAACCACCGGUCACACUAACGCUGAAAAGCGAUCAAGAAUCCUUAACCAGGAUGUGAAGCCUUUUUCACAAAACACCGAUCUCAGGUGACGUUGAAGACAAUACCAACUUGCUUUAAACAUCGAGACUCCUUUACUACUCAUCCGAGCUUGUGACAUCCUUUUCAACACCAAACUGCAACCUUGAUCCUCACUUCAAAUUCCAUACCACUCCCUGCACCCAACAUGCCAAUAUACGAUAGAACACAAUCUUCAUCAUAACUCUGGAACCAUUAAUAGAUUAAUACUUCAUCGUAUAGAAACUUUUUACUUAGCUCAUUUUAGGAGAACCAUAGAAACACACAAGUGAAUUCUCAUAACUGUAGAAUAUGCAAAUCUCUAAGUAGUGGUCUAAGCCACCAUAGCCCUUCCGGGAUCUGCCUACACAUAAUCGGCCAUAACAGUAAAAUACUUCUGAAUAUAAUCAAUUACGGCGACCGUCGAGCCUCGUGCGCACCAUCACCACUAUGCGAAUUCAACUAUGGCUGACCAAUCUAACUUCCUCUAAUUCAUCCUUAACUUGCCUUAGAGAUAAUAUUAGCUCCAUUCCUUACAUCACCAACAUAAAUCCGCACUCAUCUUGAGUGACCCCAUUCCAUGAGACCACAUUGUCUCAAAUUCCACGAACUAUUUCAUACCUCCCUUGUGCGCACAUUCGCAUCCUCAACUGGUGCACCCAUUCUGAUAAUCUCUCUAUGAAUCCAAAGUCUUUUCCCUUUUUUUCCUCCCGAUGCUACACUGCAAGUCGAAAACAUCAUAGAUAAUUCCGAGCCUCUUAUCAUAAUCUUCUACAAAAGAUCGAUUCUUAACCAUACUGUGGGCUUGAACCCUUAGGCACCGCAUUUUUAAAUCUUUUGAAUUCACUAGGACCGUUGUUGAGAUUUAUCCACUCUGACUUGGUCCCGAACAUAAUCAACUCCAUGAAUCUUCUAGCACAUGAACACCUUCUCGAUGAAGCACCAGGCCGAAUCACUUUCCUUGAAACCUGCAUCUACACAACGCAUAAAUCCUGUACCCUUUCCCAAGUCUGAUCAUGAGUCAAUACGACUAACAAUAGAACAUCUUUAACAAUUCCUUUGCUCAAAUUACCUCUAAAGUUCGUUUCCCUUAGCUGAAAUACAUCCAUAUGCUAAUAACCUGAAAUCUCACAAAUAGACGACCAUGCAAUCCAACCGUAGGCGGUGGAACUCUCCCACUUAGCUUGAAGCCACUAUUACACAACUCCAGAACCCGCCAAGAUUCUUUAUCUCUCAUUGACAUAACCUUGCGCAAUCCACCGCCAAAUUCCUCGAGAUCAUUUCGUUAGUAUUUCAUGAACACUCUAAAUUUCCGUCAACAUUCACAUAUUCGACCUCUUACCGGAAUGGCCAGUAAAAUCUUCUGCAGAAGCUUUGCCAACCAAACGAUCGCUAACCUUCUCACAGGGAAUAACCCACCUAUUGAAAUCACUUUCCGACAUCUUCCAACGCUGUUGCACGGGGUACAAUCACUACGACAUCAAUAACCCAUCUUGAGUCUGAGCUCACUCUCUAGCUGCACAAGUCCAUUCACCCCUCAUGGACAUCAAUUAAAUGUGCGGCAACAUCUUUCCAAUUCAAAGGUAUGUUGUAUCCUUCUUCAUUUCAGGCAGCUCCCUUCUAUUAUAUCAAAUCUCCUGCUGCGUAAUAGCCCAUGCUCCAAAUUAUAUCCGUAGGCCCCAAUCACCAAUCUCUAAAAUUCCCAAAUCAUUCCAAACUCUCCUUAAGGUGCAUAGUCAUCCUACCGCAAAGGCCAUAUGCAACUCCGCCACUCUCCCACUUUGGCAGAACUCACCCCUUUAAUCUACUACUCGACCUUUGCUUCUUAUACCUGGACUUCUAGAUGUUUUAACCACUGCCUGACACUCCCCACAUGUCCUUCAUCAUCCGUUGCUACUCAGCUAUUACCUCAAAUAAAUUCCACCUACGUAGCGCUUGAACCCACCAACCGCUACUAACUUUAAAUCUCCCCGAGGUCAUCUUUCUUGGGCCAUCAACACUAGAUAUACCGAUUCAAUCCUGAACCAUCGCACAUUGUGAUCUCUGACAGUUGCCUCUCCAUUAUUAUUUCACAAUAUCCUGCCCCAAAGGCGAAUUGAAGAAAACCAUAACACCGGCAAACUCAACAUAUUCAAUCGAGGACGACGAUACCACGUCACAGAUGAAAAUUCCACCACGCUCGAAAAUACCAAGUCUCGUUACUCCAUCAAACCAAAGUUGAAUAUUUAUAGCCCGAUUGCCUCUCUUCCAACGGGAAAUAAAAUUCUGAAUCUCUGAAUCUUGCAUUGAGUAAACAUCCUUCCAAGUCAGUCACUACUUCAACGCAUAGACAAACACUCUACCAUUACACCAAUAUUGUGUGAUAACAACGCACGAAUCAUCAUAACAAUUGAUGCCAAAUCUCAAAACCUUAGGUAAUAUUGAAACUGAGCUGAAAUGACAGAACGACCUUCCGCAAGGCGACGACAAUAGCUCGAUCAAAUACGCAGGGGGGAACAUCCCGCACCACAUCUGUAGUACUAUUACAUUUUCCCAAUUCUCGAUUUAUAAUAAGCGCUUCACGUUGCAUAAGAUUUAGUAGGAAAGAAACAAGCCAUAAGCCUUAAGAAAUCUAAUCGCACGAUGGGGAAUCAAGUAGGGAGGUGCUCCUAACAGUCGUGUAGCCUCUCGAAGAUAAGUACAGACAUCUCUGUACCGAUCCAUGAGACUCUACUAGACUUGCUCAUGACUCAUGAGACCUAAGGAAACCUAGUGCUCUGAUACCAUGUUGUCAUGACCCAAAUUUUACUAAGGGGCAUGAUGGCGCCGGACAUCGCUGUCAGGCAAGCCAACCAAAAUACUUAAUUAAAUUCUUAUUUAAAUAAUUUUGAAAACUAUGAUUUUUCCUACAAUUUUACCAGUAAAAGAUAAUCGUUUCAAAUCAAAUAUGAAUGUUAAGAAGUUAAUAUAAGAUAUGCCAUAAUCAUCCCAGAAUCCGGUGUCACAAGUGCAUGAGAAUUUAUUAGAGAACGCAAUAAAAUAUAGUAACUUUCCGGAAUACAAGUGGACAUAAAUGAAAAAUACAGUAACAUACUCUGAAGAGGACUCCGCUGGCUUCGGAUCGUCUCGAUAAAUGCAACUCACCUACAUCUCCGUAUCAACCAUGUCAUUAUGCCACUAAGCCACUAGCCACACUUGAACCUGUGCAACAAAAAUGCACAGCAAGUGUAGUAUGAGUACGAAAACAAUGUGUACCCAAUGAGUAUCCCGUCUAAUAUCGAAGAAGUAGAGACGAGAGGUCGACUUCGACACUUACUAAUGGUCCAAUGAUAAUAUAGAAAAAGUAUGAGGAAUUCAUGGAUUUCAUAAAGCAAAAUUUAACUCAUAAAGCCAGAAAGCAGGUAAACAACUUCUCAAAUAAUAAAGGAUUUCCAAAAGUUUACUUUUCAUUAUCUUUAUCAAUUUAUCUCUGGCCAUGAAGGAGCAAUUAUCAACAUUUAAAAUUCUCAAGCAAGCAAUACAAGCAUGCACAUAUCAUGUCGAGGUCAUACGGCCCGAUCCAACAAUAUUUAAAUUGUGCACUGCCAGAGGGUCGAAUGACGCGAACCAUAGAUGCAUCUAUUUAAUCUACUGAGGCGUUUGGCCCGUUCCGAAAUUAAACGCUAAACGCAUAUAGACAGUCAAUCAAGAAGUCAACAGAGAACAAUUAUCCAAAGAAAAGCCAAUUCUCUUUUAACAAUUUUAUAAAAUAAAGUUUAAUCCUUUUUGAAAUUCAUUUACCAAUUCGAUAGGAUUUAAGCAAUUCAACUGCCAACAAGAUUAUAGAUAUUCCAAGUAUAGCAUGCUUUUAGGUCCUAGACUACCCGGACUUACACAUAAUAGUAGUUACACACGGACUCUCGUCACCUCGUGCAUACGUAGCUCCCACAAAUAGGAGCACAUAACCAAUUAUAUCACAUAUGGGGACAAUUCCCUCUUACAAAAUUAGAAAGGAGAUUCACCUCGCUCUGAAGAUCCAUAACCGGCAUUCCACGCUCUUCCGAAGACUCGAAUCGAUGCACAAUACUCCAAAACUAGCCAAUAAUUAUGCAAAUCCAUUAAUAUAUGUUCAAUUACUCAUUACAAUCCAAUUUAUAACAAUUCCUAACCUCGAUCGAAAAGUUGACAAAAUUGCUCUCUAACCCACGUGCCCGGAUUCUGAAAUUUUUCGAAGAUAAAGUUUACCCAUGAACUCACGAACUCAAAUAUAUGAUUUUCUCAUUAUUUCAUACCCAAAAUCAUGGUCAAAAUCCAAGAAUACGAAUUUUCUAGGUUUUCGUCAAACCUCCAAAUUUCUACCAAUUUACAUGCAAAUAUUCAUACAUAAUCAAUGUAUUUAACUCAAGAUAGGUGGGGUUAACUUACCUUGCCGUUGAUGAUGAAAACCCCCACUUGAAGCUCCCCAGAAUUGGCUCCAAUGGAAGAAAUGGGGUUGAAAUGAACCCAACCACCGAUUUAAAGGAACUCAUUGCCUCCAGCAUUUCCCCACCUGCAGUCACUUGAUCGCUUUUGCGGUUCCGCAGGUUCGACCCAAUACCCGCUUCUGCGGUUUCUCACCUGGCUGCCCUUUCCACUUCUGCGCUUCAACCACCGCAGGUACGGUCCCGCUUCUGCAGCUACAUGACCGCAUCUGCGGUCUCUUCACUUCUGGUCCAGAACUGCAUCUGCGUCCCUCCUAGCCGCUUCUGCAGCUCCGCACCUACGGCCAAACCUUGCAGGUGUGGUUACACCGGAUACUAGCUACUGAAGCCCUUUUUUAAACUCCAAAUUUGAUCUAUUAACCAUCCAGAAUCCAGCCGAGGCCCUAGGGACCCCGUCCAAUCAUACCAACCAGUCCCAAAGCACAUUACGAACUUACUCGAGGCCUCAAAUCAUAUCAAAGUUUAAUGAACUUUAGAGUUUCAAACUUCUACAUUCGAUGACGAAACCUAUCAAAUCACGUUCGAUUGACCUCAAAUUUGGCACACAAGUCAUAUUUGACAUUACGGACCUACUCCAACUUCCGGAAUUGGAUUUUGACCCCGAUAUCAAAAAGUCCACUUCCGGUCAAACUUCUCAAAAACCUUCAAAUUUCUAUCUUUAGCCAAAUGACUCCAAAAUGACCUACAGACCUCCGAAUUCACUUCUGAUCGCCCUCCCAAUACCAAAAUCACCAUACGGAUCUAUUCCCAGACUAAAAAUCUCAAAUGGACAUUGAUAACCCUGAAAUGCACUUCAAUCCAAACUUAUGAGAUUCUUCCAAAAAUGCUAACUUCCAGAAUAGGCACUGAAACGUUCCCGGGUCUUCCAAAACCCAGUCCGGACAUACGUCCAAGUCUGAAAUCAUUCUACGAACCUUUUAGAACCUUCGAAUCCCGAUUUUGAGGUCGUUUACUCAAAAAAUCCAACCUUAGUCAAUUUUUUCAACUUAAAGAUUCCGAAAUGAGAAUUCUCUUUCCAAAUCAACUCUGAACUUCCCAUAAUUCAAUUCCGACCAUGCGCACAAGUCAUAAUACCUGAAGUGAAGCUACUCAUGGUCUCAAACUGCUGAACGGCGUGCUAUAGCUCAAAAUGAUCGGUCGGGUCAUUACACUACAUAUCCCACCUCAAAAUACGAGAAUCAGGUAAACGUAGUCCGGAAAGAUUUGAUACGGGCGAGAAUUAAACAAAUCAACUAAUUUAGAGAAAAUAUAUUUUUUGUCUUUUGUUUUGAAAAGUGAUGAAACAUGUAAAAUCUUUUUGGAUUUUCUUUAUCCUCUUUUUUUAUUUUAUUUUUUUUAGAAAAUGAUAGGAAAGAGCAAAAUCUUUUUGGAUUUUUUUUGUCUUUUUCUUGGAAAAAAAGUGAAAGAAAAAUAUAAAUGGGCCCUACUUGCUUCAUUUUUAUACUUCACCCUCCUUUCUUUCUUAUUUACCCUCAACCCUCAUUGGUCCGCCAAAUGACCCCUUUUACCCUUGAAGACUACAACAUGUAGCACAUACGAUGCAUCAUGAUGGUCUUUUAUUUUUGGGUACACUUGUCCUAGACGGACCUAACCUUAUGUUGAGGCCCCAAGGUGAAAUAAACAUGAUGCAAACAAGCGAUCCUACUAGGGAUCCGACAUAAGGCUAUGUUAUUCUAGGUUUAAAUCCUGGGUGUAUUGUUCUAGACCUGGCUUACCCGAGUGGACAACUCGAGCCGGGGGGAGGGCUACGUACCGGGAACCAAAAGGCCAUCCGGCUUUGUAACUUGUCCGAACCUCAUUUUAAAUUAGGGUAUGACACUAACAGAAAAGAAGUCACGCCAGCAUGCACUUUCCAGCAGAUUAGAAUAUAAGGGUUUUCGUAGCAGUUUAUAUAUAGUACAAAUAAUAUCAAAGCGGUAAAAGGCAACAUUUAGCACAUUAGGCCCAAGCAUGUAAUAAAAAUUAGCUAAUAAAUAAAAUCCAAAUAUAACAAUUAUUCUAACCUCGAAUUCUUGAAUCCUGAACCAGAGAUUCUGGGUUCUCAUCCCCAGCAGUCUCGCCAGAGUUGUCACACCUCCUUUUUCUACCCGGAAAGGGUAUAUAAGGGAGUUUUUCCAAUUAAAGUGACAAUAACCGAAUCAGGAUUAUUUAUAUUCAAAUUCAGAGUCUCCACUUGGGAUAAUUUAUGGUGUCCCAAGUCACCGGUUUAGAAUCCCGAAUCUAGGAAAGUUUGACUAUGUUUUACAGUCCGCGAAACACAGAAAUCCGGGUAAGGAAUUCUGUUAACCCGAGAGAAGGUGUUAGGCAUUUCCGGGUUCCAUGAUUUUAGCACGGUCGCUCAACUAUUAUUAUUGGCCUAAUUAUUUGAUUAAUUACAUUUUUUAUACCUAUUGUGCAUUUUUAGCUUUUGACUGUUUUUAAUUAUUUAUGAAAUUAUUCUGGAACAAGUUACGAUUGUCGUACACUUGUUAGUUUGGUACAUAUUGCGAAUCGUGUCACGGGAACCGUACCCACGAUUUACAACAUGUUUAAAUUAUUAAUAUUAUUAGUUGUUGUGGCCGAGCCACAUAAAUAUACCCCCGGAUUUGAAAAUUAUGUAUCACAACUACAUCACGGGAAUCAUACCCGUAGUCACGAUGAUUUAAUUACACGCCUAAACCAAACUAUGAUAUUCAUAAACUAUUUAGUAGUUAUUUCCUUAAUUGCAUGACAAAGCUAAAGAUAAAUGUGUGGUGUGCUAAUUAUCAGCUUUGGGUCUGCAGAUCGACCUUGUUAGGCCCAAUUUUCUUCAAACCACAUUUAACAUCAUCAUGACCCAUUUCAUCAUUAAAAGUGCAAUAACAGUGCUAACCUUUAAACAAUAUUCUCAAAUAAUAUGUUUCACCUAUAUAAAACCUUGAAUUUAGUUCAUCAAUACAAGUAAAUUACACAACAAAAUUAAAUACAGAAAUGAUAAAAGAAAGGAAAAAAUACCAAAAAGCAGUAACAUUGAAGAAGUUUUUAGAGGUAACCAUUGAAGCAAUUGAACUAGCAGCAAAGAAGCACUGAGUCGUCCUCAAAAAUAGCUCAGUCAAAGUACCAGGUGUACCAGCAAAAUCCCUAAUUUCUAUAUAUCCUCAAACUUAAAAAUAAACUUUUACCCUUCUUGAUGGGUAGAAAGAAAACAACCCAACUAAGAAAAACAUUAUCUUAAGAACCUUUCUUUAACCAUUUCUGAAGCAAACACAAGUAAAAAUUUGUAUUCUUGAUUUAACCAACAGCCAAAACUAUGACUUUUCACCAAAAAUCUGAUGAAUCAAGAAACUUCAGCUAAUUUGCUACAACCCUUAAAAAAUUACCAAAAUAAGAUGCCCCUUUGAGCAGUCAGUGGUUGUGCCAACAGCUCCCAGAACUUCAAUCCCCAAAUAAGCCAGCACUACAUGAUUCUAUUGAAAGUUCGGGAUUUAUAAUUCACCAAAAAAAUGAGGUGGAGAACAUUGUGAGUUGUUAUGCAGACACGGCAUAAACUCUUGUUUAUAAGCUUAACCCAAAAAAAAGCUAAAAUUUCAUCUCGACUUUACAUUUCCUCUUAAUUGCUCACAAAUGAUCAAAGAUUAUUUAGAAAGUAACUACAGAUCUAUGAGGUUCAAACUUUUCUUUCAAAAACAAGGAUAGGAAGAAACCUUUAACUAGUAAUAGCACUUCUUUUAACAAAGCACUAUUAGCAAACUGGUAAAAUAUUAACGCAAUUUUAAAACCUCAAUUAAAUAAUAUUUUUGGAUAUGCCAGAUCCAAAAAGGUUGAUAUAACAGCAUAGAGUACAACAAAAUAAAUCUGACAUAUGCUUACCGGAACAAAUUGAUUGUGAACCAUGGGUUUCAAAGGAGACUUCUCUAUUUUGUGUUGUCCGUGUGUUAGCUGUUAUAUCUCUCCUUUUAGGAUUUAGGAAAUUGGAGAUUGAAUGAUUUUUGUUCCAUCCUUUCCUUUCAAGAAAAUGGUUGUCGUGUUUUUGUUGUCUAGGUCUAGGAAUUGGAAUCUUAGGGUAGAGUUUCUAUAAUUGGGUAUUUUAUAUGGAGGUGGGAAGGGAUGAUGGCCAUUGGAUUAGAAGGAAAUAAAUGGCUAGGAUUAAAUCUUGCACUUAAGUGGGCUAAUGAGUUGGGAAGAAUGGGCUAAGGGUAAUUGAGUUGGACCAUGUCUUUUGGGUUUGAACUUAGGCUAAGAAGACCAAAUAAUACAAUGUAUCUAUAAAGUGUAAAAUCACUCUUAAUUAAAAUAAACUAAUAUAAAACUAAAUACUAAAAGUGAAACUAUUUUUUGUAUUUUCAAAUGUUAUAAUAAAGUAAAAAGUAGGAAGAAGAAGCUAAAGCCAUAGUGAAAUUAAAAUACUAUAAAUAUAAAUAUACUAAUUAUCUUUAAACUAAAGAUGAAAUAUAUUUUUUUUGUAUUUUUUUUGUGAUAGAAUAAAGUAAAAGAGUCAAAACUAUUUAAAAUAACAAUAUUAAACCUAAACUAAAUAUAUUACGCUAAAAAGUAUGAAAUUUCGAUGAGGGUCAAAAAUGACAUGUCUACACCAGCCGCCAAAGUUCACGAUCAGGUCCCAGUUGCGAACGCU
rnacentral:lncRNA from 1 species